UACGUAGGGUGCGAGCGUUGUCCGGAAUUAUUGGGCGUAAAGGGCUCGUAGGCGGUUUGUCGCGUCGGGAGUGAAAACCCAGGGCUUAACUCUGGGCUUGCUUUCGAUACGGGCAGACUAGAGGUAUGCAGGGGAGAACGGAAUUCCUGGUGUAGCGGUGAAAUGCGCAGAUAUCAGGAGGAACACCGGUGGCGAAGGCAGGUCUCUGGGCAUUAACUGACGCUGAGGAGCGAAAGCAUGGGGAGCGAACAGG
rnacentral:rRNA from 1 species